rnacentral:tRNA from 1 species
CCAUCGUUGUUAUUCAACUAUGAGAAC